GAUGAACGCUAGCUACAGGCUUAACACAUGCAAGUCGAGGGGCAGCAUGGUCUUAGCUUGCUAAGGCCGAUGGCGACCGGCGCACGGGUGAGUAACACGUAUCCAACCUGCCGUCUACUCUUGGACAGCCUUCUGAAAGGAAGAUUAAUACAAGAUGGCAUCAUGAGUCCGCAUGUUCACAUGAUUAAAGGUAUUCCGGUAGACGAUGGGGAUGCGUUCCAUUAGAUAGUAGGCGGGGUAACGGCCCACCUAGUCUUCGAUGGAUAGGGGUUCUGAGAGGAAGGUCCCCCACAUUGGAACUGAGACACGGUCCAAACUCCCACGGGAGGCAGCAGUGAGGAAUAUUGGUCAAUGGGCGAGAGCCUGAACCAGCCAAGUAGCGUGAAGGAUGACUGCCCUAUGGGUUGUAAACUUCUUUUAUAAAGGAAUAAAGUCGGGUAUGGAUACCCGUUUGCAUGUACUUUAUGAAUAAGGAUCGGCUAACUCCGUGCCAGCAGCCGCGGUAAUACGGAGGAUCCGAGCGUUAUCCGGAUUUAUUGGGUUUAAAGGGAGCGUAGAUGGAUGUUUAAGUCAGUUGUGAAAGUUUGCGGCUCAACCGUAAAAUUGCAGUUGAUACUGGAUAUCUUGAGUGCAGUUGAGGCAGGCGGAAUUCGUGGUGUAGCGGUGAAAUGCUUAGAUAUCACGAAGAACUCCGAUUGCGAAGGCAGCCUGCUAAGCUGCAACUGACAUUGAGGCUCGAAAGUGUGGGUAUCAAACAGGAUUAGAUACCCUGGUAGUCCACACGGUAAACGAUGAAUACUCGCUGUUUGCGAUAUACUGCAAGCGGCCAAGCGAAAGCGUUAAGUAUUCCACCUGGGGAGUACGCCGGCAACGGUGAAACUCAAAGGAAUUGACGGGGGCCCGCACAAGCGGAGGAACAUGUGGUUUAAUUCGAUGAUACGCGAGGAACCUUACCCGGGCUUAAAUUGCAGAUGAAUUACGGUGAAAGCCGUAAGCCGCAAGGCAUCUGUGAAGGUGCUGCAUGGUUGUCGUCAGCUCGUGCCGUGAGGUGUCGGCUUAAGUGCCAUAACGAGCGCAACCCUUGUUGUCAGUUACUAACAGGUUCCGCUGAGGACUCUGACAAGACUGCCAUCGUAAGAUGUGAGGAAGGUGGGGAUGACGUCAAAUCAGCACGGCCCUUACGUCCGGGGCUACACACGUGUUACAAUGGGGGGUACAGAGGGCCGCUACCACGCGAGUGGAUGCCAAUCCCCAAAACCUCUCUCAGUUCGGACUGGAGUCUGCAACCCGACUCCACGAAGCUGGAUUCGCUAGUAAUCGCGCAUCAGCCACGGCGCGGUGAAUACGUUCCCGGGCCUUGUACACACCGCCCGUCAAGCCAUGGGAGCCGGGGGUACCUGAAGUGCGUAACCGCGAGGAGCGCCCUAGGGUAAAACUGGUGACUGGGGCU
rnacentral:rRNA from 1 species